AAAGAAAUGACAGAUCGAUUGUAAAGUUUCGUGAAUGAAUAUAAAAAAAAUGGAAGUAAAAGAAAUUGAACAAAUACUCAAAUCUUAAGUAUGUAAAAUAGCAGAAGAGGAAAGAACGAAUGGAAAGGACAGGUCGAUUGUAAACAUAAAAAAACGAAUAGAAAAUAAAAAUGGAAGUAAAAGAAAUUGAGAAAAUACCCAAAGCUUAUAAGUAUGUAAAGUAGCAGAAGGGGAAAGAACGAAUGGAAAGGACAGGUCGAUUGUAAACUUAUAAAAACAAAUAGAAAAUAAAAAUGAAAGUAAAAGAAAUUGAGCAAAUACCCAAAGCUUAUAAGUAUGUAAAGCAGAAGAGAAAAGAACGAAUGGAAAGGACAGGUCGAUCGUAAGCUUAUAAAAACAAAUAGAAAAUAAAAAUGGAAGUAAAAAAAAUUGAACAAAUACCCAAAGCUUAAGUAAGUAAAAUAGCAAAGAGGAAAGAACGAAUGGAAAGGACAGGUCGAUCGUAAACUUAUAAAAACA